rnacentral:rRNA from 1 species
ACCAGACUCCUACGGGAGGCAGCAGUGGGGAAUAUUGGACAAUGGGGGGAACCCUGAUCCAGCGACGCCGCGUGAGUGAAGAAGUAUUUCGGUAUGUAAAGCUCUAUCAGCAGGGAAGAAAAUGACGGUACCUGACUAAGAAGCCCCGGCUAACUACGUGCCAGCAGCCGCGGCAAUACGGAGGGGGCAAGCGUUAUCCGGAUUUACUGGGUGUAAAGGGAGCGUAGACGGUGCAGCAAGUCUGAUGUGAAAGGUCGGGGCCCAACCCCGGGACUGCAUUGGAAACUGUUGAACUGGAGUACAGGAGAGGUAAGCGGAAUUCCUAGUGUAGCGGUGAAAUGCGUAGAUAUUAGGAGGAACACCAGUGGCGGAGGCGGCUUACUGGACUGUAACUGACGUUGAGGCUCGAAAGCGUGGGGAGCAAA